rnacentral:rRNA from 1 species
UCAUCUCCGGGGGUAGAGCACUGUUUCGGCUAGGGGGUCAUCCCGACUUACCAACCCGAUGCAAACUGCGAAUACCGGAGAAUGUUAUCACGGGAGACACACGGCGGGUGCUAACGUUCGUCGUGAAGAGGGAAACAACCCAGACCGCCGGCUAAGGUCCCAAAGUCAUAAUUAAGUGGGAAACGAAGUGGGAAGGCUCAGACAGCCAGGAUGUUGGCUUAGAAGCAGCCAUCAUUUAAAGAAAGCGUAAUAGCUCACUGGUCGAGUCGGCCUGCGCGGAAGAUGUAACGGGGCUAAAUUAUGCACCGAAGCCGCGGCAGCGAUAUGUAAAUAUUGUUGGGUAGGGGAGCGUUCUGUAAGCCUGUGAAGGUGUGCUGUGAGGCAUGCUGGAGGUAUCAGAAGUGCGAAUGCUGACAUAAGUAACGAUAAUGCGGGUGAAAAACCCGCACGCCGGAAGACCAAGGGUUCCUGUCCAACGUUAAUCGGGGCAGGGUGAGUCGACCCCUAAGGCGAGGCUGAAAAGCGUAGUCGAUGGGCAACGGGUUAAUAUUCCCGUACUGGUGGUAACUGCGAAGGGGGGACGGAGAAAGCUAAAUCAUCCGGGCGACGGUUGUCCCGGUUUAAGCGUGCAGGUGGACUGACCAGGCAAAUCCGGUCGGUUGUUAACACUGAGGCGUGACGACGAGCCACUACGGUGGUGAAGUGAUUGAUGCUCUGCUUCCGGGAAAAGCCUCUAAGCUCCAGGUUACCAUUAAUCGUACCCCAAACCGACACAGGUGGUCAGGUAGAGAAUACUCAGGCGCUUGAGAGAACUCGGGUGAAGGAACUAGGCAAAAUGGUGCCGUAACUUCGGGAGAAGGCACGCUGGCAUUAGGUGAAGUGGUUUACCCAUGGAGCUGAAGCCAGCCGCAGAUACCAGCUGGCUGCAACUGUUUAUUAAAAACACAGCACUGUGCAAACACGAAAGUGGACGUAUACGGUGUGACGCCUGCCCGGUGCCGGAAGGUUAAUUGAUGAGGUUAGCGUAAGCGAAGCUUCUGAUCGAAGCCCCGGUAAACGGCGGCCGUAACUAUAACGGUCCUAAGGUAGCGAAAUUCCUUGUCGGGUAAGUUCCGACCUGCACGAAUGGCGUAAUGAUGGCCAGGCUGUCUCCACCCGAGACUCAGUGAAAUUGAACUCGCUGUGAAGAUGCAGUGUACCCGCGGCAAGACGGAAAGACCCCGUGAACCUUUACUAUAGCUUGACACUGAACAUUGAGCCUUGAUGUGUAGGAUAGGUGGGAGGCAACGAAGUGUGGACGCCAGUCUGCACGGAGCCAUCCUUGAAAUACCACCCUUUAACGUUUGAUGUUCUAACCCGGGUCCAUAAUCUGGAUCGGGGACCGUGUCUGGUGGGUAGUUUGACUGGGGCGGUCUCCUCCCAAAGAGUAACGGAGGAGCACGAAGGUUGGCUAAGCAUGGUCGGACAUCAUGCGGUUAGUGCAAAGGCAUAAGCCAGCUUGACUGCGAGAGUGACGGCUCGAGCAGGUACGAAAGUAGGUCUUAGUGAUCCGGUGGUUCUGAAUGGAAGGGCCAUCGCUCAACGGAUAAAAGGUACUCCGGGGAUAACAGGCUGAUACCGCCCAAGAGUUCAUAUCGACGGCGGUGUUUGGCACCUCGAUGUCGGCUCAUCACAUCCUGGGGCUGAAGUAGGUCCCAAGGGUAUGGCUGUUCGCCAUUUAAAGUGGUACGCGAGCUGGGUUUAGAACGUCGUGAGACAGUUCGGUCCCUAUCUGCCGUGGGCGCUGGAAGAUUGAGAGGGGUUGCUCCUAGUACGAGAGGACCGGAGUGAACGCACCACUGGUGUACGGGUUGUGAUGCCAAUUGCAUUGCCCGGUAGCUAAGUGCGGAAGAGAUAACCGCUGAAAGCAUCUAAGCGGGAAACUUGCCUCGAGAUGAGUCUUCCCUGACCCUUUAAGGGUCCUGAAGGAACGUUUGAGACUAAGACGUUGAUAGGCUGGGUGUGUAAGCGCAGCGAUGCGUUGAGCUGACCAGUACUAAUGAACCGUGAGGCUUAACCU